GUGCCAGCCGCCGCGGUAAUACCGGCAGCCCAAGUGAUGGCCGAUCUUAUUGGGCCUAAAGCGUCCGUAGCUGGCCGCGCAGGUCCAUCGGAAAAUCCACCCGCCCAACGGGUGGGCGUCCGGUGGAAACUGUGUGGCUUGGGACCGGAAGGCGCGACGGGUACGGCCGGGGUAGGAGUGAAAUCCUGUAAUCCCGUCCGGACCACCGAUGGCGAAAGCACUUCGAGAAAACGGAUCCGACAGUGAGGGACGAAAGCUAAGAUCGCGAACCGGAUUAGAAACCCGAGUAGUCC
rnacentral:rRNA from 1 species